GACGAACGCUGGCGGCGUGCUUAACACAUGCAAGUCGAACGCUGAAGCCCUUCGGGGUGGAUGAGUGGCGAACGGGUGAGUAACACGUGGGUAAUCUGCCCUGCACUCUGGGAUAAGCCUUGGAAACGGGGUCUAAUACCGGAUAGGACACGUGGCCGCAUGGUCUGCGUGUGGAAAGUUCCGGCGGUGCAGGUUGAGCCCGCGGCCUAUCAGCUUGUUGGUGGGGUGAUGGCCUACCAAGGCGACGACGGGUAGCCGGCCUGAGAGGGUGACCGGCCACACUGGGACUGAGACACGGCCCAGACUCCUACGGGAGGCAGCAGUGGGGAAUCUUGCGCAAUGGGCGAAAGCCUGACGCAGCAACGCCGCGUGGGGGAUGACGGCCUUCGGGUUGUAAACCUCUUUCGACAUCGACGAAGCCUUCGGGUGACGGUAGGUGUAGAAGAAGCACCGGCUAACUACGUGCCAGCCGCCGCCGUAA
rnacentral:rRNA from 1 species